CCCAAAUCUAGCCACAAAAACCCAAAAAAACCUUGUUUCUUCAAAUAAUCAGCUAUGUCGGAGAUGGCCAACACAGAUCCCGAAGGAAUUGACGGAGUUCGAAUGACAUGGAAUGUCUGGCCACGCACCAAAGUCGAAGCCAGCAAGUGCGUGAUCCCACUGGCCGCCUCCAUCUCUCCGAUCCGCCAUCACCCCGACAUCCCUACACUUCCUUACUCUCCUCUACGUUGCAAGACCUGCUCCGCCAUCCUCAAUUCCUUCUCGCGCGUCGACUUCACUGCCAAGAUCUGGAUCUGCCCCUUUUG
rnacentral:misc_RNA from 1 species